GACUCCUGAAAGACUCAGCUCUGGGCUGUCUCCAGAGCUUUUCUGCUCCUAACACCAGGAGAAGUCUUGGUUUAAUGGCUCCGUCAUCACCCCCGUUUAUGUUCUUUUCAGGACUGAAGCAAGCUCGACUCCUUGGGAUCUGCAGCAGAGGAAUCUCUGGAUGCCUGAUUGCAGCUGACAGAAUCAGUGGAAAAUAAAUUGCCAGACAGCCUAAGGCAUUCCGUUUGUGUACCUGGCACUGGAGGACAAAAUGGUGAUGCCAGCCAAGGUGUGUGUGCCACCAGUGCAGUGGUGAGAGCAGUGUCUGUGCCCAGCAAUGAGAUGCCCUGUGUCCUGUGCCCGCUCCAGGCAGAGGAUCUGCUCAGGGACCCAUCCCAGGGCACAGUGUGGGACCAGAAGGAGAUUGGCAAGAGGUGGGACCGUGCUGCCCAUGGGACUGCAGCACCCUGACAACAGGUUUCAUCCCAGGUUUGAACCCAGCAGUGCUCCCUUCCUGUCCUAUGGUUUUGCUAUGAGAGGGGGAAGAAGUGCCUGGAGAAAAGAGCAACACCUGCAUGUGCAGCUGAUGAGACCAGGGUGUGAAAAGGUCCUGUCUUCCCUUCCCACCCCGCAGUGAUGAAGCCCACACAGCCUGAAGCCCCGGGAAAUGUGGGAGGUGUCGACACAUGGUUUGUGCACCACCCCAUUUGCUGCAGGAACAGACGAUUGCAUCUCCCCAGAACAAAGGAGAAGGACAAAGUGUCCAGGUGUUUGAGACCACGGAGUUCCAACACAACGUGUAUUCUGGGGAGAACUUGGAAGGAAAAAACCACUUUGGGGAGGCUGCAGCAUUCCAGCCUGGUUCCAAGAUCCUGGAGGAGGAGUCCCUGUUUGUGUUUUCAGAAUUGAAUGUUUCAGUUUUCUGACAUUUUCCACAAGUCAGGCUCAAGUAAAACUAUAUUUUGUUCAAACAGACCCUUUGAAAUAAGAGAAAUUUUUGCUCUUCCAGACGACUUCUUGGAUGGGAAUUCUUCUUCAUUUCAAGAACAUAGGAAAAUUGAAAUAAUGAAACUUCCUCUGAAAAAUCAAAGCCAUUUGUCACACAUCACACGGCUUGUGUCAUCUUUCACUGACAGUACAGGGGCUUCAGACUGAAAGUCCUGUCCCUGCUGGAGCAGAAAUUCAGCAUGCGAGAAGGAGGCAAGGUUUUAAGUAGAACACCAGGGGAGUUUCCCAUCUCUGACAAAAAUAAUUAAACACAGUAGUCAAAUUCUCGCAGACCCUGAGGAUUUGGGAUGGUGGUUUUUCAGCUCAUCUGCAAGGGGCCCACCCAAGCACCUGGUGCCCACUGGCAGGGCAUUGGUUCAGAUGCUGACCCAGCUCAAAGGGCCGAGCACCAAGGUCUGAAUCCCCCUUUCCAGCAGCACUGGGGGCUCCUCGAAGCCUGACUCUGCCUCGUUCCUGAGCCCUGUGUCAGGAGGGACUGGGAAGCAGCAGAAACAAUGGAAGUUCUCCUCUGUCUCCAUCAGUGGAAAGGAAGCAGCGUUGCUGGAGCGACAGGGAUUGAUGGAUGGGACCCGGGGUGCGGCACAGUCUGUCAGAGCCGAGGUUAAUGAGGGGGAAUGGGAAUAGCCUGUGCCUGGACAGCUGACAUCAUCUGCUAAAUUAACUGCAAACCUACUCACACGGUACUCCUGCUCCUCACUCCACUGUCAUUAACCCCAGGAACCAGCUGCAGCAGGGAUGUGCCUGGAAUCCACACGGAGCUCCAGGCAGCUGUCGGGGCUGUGUGCUGGGCUGGCACAGCCGGGCUCUGCCAGGCUGGGGCAUCACCCCCGGGCACCCCCUUGGCACGAGGGGACAGGGGACCCAGUCCUCAUUGCAGGGGGACACCAGGCUUAGUUUCAGUUUGUCCCUGGCCCCACUUAGGGCACAGAGAGGCAAUCAUAAAUAAGGUGAAGAUUCCCUUCAGAAUUCAUUCCCACGUGUUGGAUGGAGCGUCUCACAGGUGAGGACAACCUCUGCAUCCCUGCUGCUUCUCCAGGAGCUGUUUCCUGGGUAGGGCUGACACCACUGUGGCCUCCAGAACCAAGCUGGCUCUGCUGCCGGGUGGGAGCACUUCAGAAGUGUUCCAAAUGCAUUUGGUACUCGACUGCAAAGUGUUACCUGUGCUGGAAACCAAAUUAACCUACAGCUGGAUGCUGGAAAACCUGGCAUUAAAUUAUUUAAUAGCUUCAAAUCCUUUCCUACUUAAUUCUCAUUUACAGCAUAAAUACUGAAGUAAAUUAAGUGAUUUAAGGGCAAACCCAGAUCCUAAUUUCCAUUGAUGCCUUGUUCUCACCUUGCAGGAAGAAAGUUACACUGAGAGGCUGGUUUCUACUCAGCAGACACUGCUCUGCAAUAGGAGGCUCCAGUUCUUCCCAGCAGUGUGAUAAUUCACAGUUUUAAUAAGUUUUUGCCUGUCCUGGAAGUAAAAUACAACAUUGAAGCUGCCAGGAGCAGUUUUCUUAGUUUGUCAUUCCAGUAUGGCCUUUCCUGACCUUUGGACAUAUGCCAUGAAUGCUCUAAUCCUCAGCAAGGGUUUUAUCUUAAGCAGAUAUGAUGAAGGAUCUAAAAAGUAGGUCAGGAGACAUUAGAGGCUGUUUGAUUCAUUGUGAACUGUGGGUACAGCAUGGCUUUUAAGCCUGAAAUGUCAUUACUUGGAUGCAAUGAAGCUGCUGUUUUGCUUUAGAAAAUAGUCAAAUGGAUGGUUGGUAGGAAAAAAGAACCAGGAGGGCCUGGGACUUCUGGGGACCAAAUGCCCAUUUCAAGCAGAAACCACCACCAAGCCUUUGCUUGUGUUUUGGGGUGGCAGCACCCCCUGUCCAUGGCACAGCAGUGCUGAGGGUCCCUCAGCAAGGACCUGCAGUCCCCAAAAAGUGCAGGGCAGGGUUCUGCCCCAGCACUGCCAGCUCACCCUUGGCCAGGUGGCAUCUAGGACAGUGAGAGCAUCAUGGAAAUGGAAACGUGGAAGCUCUGCCUGCCCCUCCUGCUGGGUGAGCCACUGCUCUGGGGACACUCCUUGUAUCUUUUCCUAAGUAUUGCCAAUAUGUUUCCAUCCCUUGCAGUGCUUUCCCAGCCUGUGUCUGUCCGGGGCACAGAGUUUUCAUUUCUUUUAAUGAUUCUCAAGAAAUUUUUGAGAAAUCAAAAAUGCAUUUCAGAGUUAUCUUCAAGGCUUACUGUGGUUCUAAUGGUUUAAAUCCACAGUGCAAAUGCUAUUUUUCGAAGCUUUACUGGUCCCCACGAUUGUAAUGGUGGCUUUACUGGAGCCCUGGGAGUUUAGAAAGGAAAAAAGUAGCUUAUCAAGUGAAAUCCCUUAAAAUAUACAUUCUCUCACACACACACGCACGCACGUAUACAGAUAUAUAUGAAAGUUUUCAAAGUUCAUCUAAUCUAUCUCUGGUUUGGGUAUUUGUGAACCAGACACUGUCAUUAAGGUUCCCAGCCCUUUUCCCUUCCUGGGGAUGUUGCAGCAGGCAGUUGACUGGAGCUCCCUCAGGCCUGAAAGAAAAACUCAGGCAGCUCACAGGGCUGGGGCACCCACCCUGCUCCAGAAAAUGCUGCCAGGAGCAAGAGCUUGGCCUCCCAGCACUUCCCUGCAAUUGCUGGAGCACCUGGGAUCCUGAAAUAUCUGUGUAACAGCAUUAGUGCAAGAUGAAUAUAGCUCCAUACCCUGGAUCUGUUUAACCUAAUAAAUAGUUUCAGUUAAUGGACAGCAAACGGAAUGAUGCUCAGUAAAUUUGAUUUUAUGAGCCUUUUACUUAUUUACUGUGCCCAUUAGGUCAGAAGUUAGGUAAUGGUAAGUGUCCAUUAGUGCAUUAGCUCAGUGAUGAGGAAGCUGAAUUGGGGAAAAAAAAAAAAAUAGGUUGAAAAACCCCCAAAGCCACAGGCAUUUAUUAAAUCUUCAUUCAUUAGUGGUGACUGCAAUGGAUGCUGAGCUGGAGGGACACUGGACCCUGGUCUUCAGGUAGAAAGUACAGCAACCUGUGAAGCCUCUUCUUCCUUCCCACGUUUGCUCCAUGUCUCUCCUGCCAUGGGGAGCCUGGGGCAGUGAGACAGGGAUGGGGCUACCCAUGUUUUCCCAUCCCAGGAAAGUCUCAGUGUGGUGUGGGUGGUACAGGUGGCCUGGGACUGCUCCUUCCAAUCAUGAAUACAUCACUGGGCUAAUAACAAUCAAAUUAAUUGUUUCAUUGAUAA